CGCUAUGGUAGAUCGGACAGGGCAGCCUUGUGCUGGCCGUGUACUCUUGAGCGGUAUUUCCACCCCUGUUCGGUCUGCCACCAUU
rnacentral:antisense_RNA from 1 species